GACGAAGGAUGCAAGCGUUAUCCGGAUUCAUUGGGUUUAAAGGGAGCAUAGGUGGCCUUGUAAGUCAGUGGUGAAAUCCUGUCGCUUAACGAUAGAAUUGCCAUUGAUACUGCAGGGCUUGAGUACAGUUGCCGUUGGCGGAAUAUGACAUGUAGUGGUGAAAUACAUAGAUAUGUCAUAGAACACCGAUUGCGAAGGCAGCUGACGAAACUGUAACUGACACUGAGGCUCGAAAGUGUGGGGAUCAAACAGG
rnacentral:rRNA from 1 species